UACAGAGGGGGCGAGCGUUGUUCGGAAUUACUGGGCGUAAAGGGCGCGUAGGCGGCCUGCUAAGUCAUACGUGAAAUCCCUCGGCUCAACCGAGGAACUGCAUCUGAUACUGGUUGGCUUGAAUUCGGGAGAGGGAUGCGGAAUUCCAGGUGUAGCGGUGAAAUGCGUAGAUAUCUGGAGGAACACCGGUGGCGAAGGCGGCAUCCUGGACCGAGAUUGACGCUGAUGCGCGAAAGCCAGGGGAGCAAACGGG
rnacentral:rRNA from 1 species